GGGGAUUUUUUCACACUCAGGACACCUGCCACCCCACUGAGAGCUUGGGUUGAUUCAGCUGACUGGGCUGGGCAGAUGUCCUCGUCCUUCCUCACUGCACCAUGUAUGCCCCUCCUAAAGCUGCAAGCUACGUCACUAUGUCGACAAGGACAAUGCUCCCUGAACAGAGAAGCCUGGGCUUCAGUCAAGGGUACAUGAGUGGCCGCACUCCUCCAAACAAGCUCCCAAACAGGACACUCAUGCUUACAAGGUCCCAGACUGCACAGCUAGGAGGUAAGAGAAGCAGGCCCCGAGUCAGCCGGCCCUGAAGGGUCACCUGUCUAU
rfam:Mesocricetus auratus contig180680, whole genome shotgun sequence.